UACGUAGGGUGCGAGCGUUGUCCGGAUUUAUUGGGCGUAAAGGGCUCGUAGGCGGCCUGUCGCGUCGGGAGUGAAAGCCCACUGCUUAACGGUGGGUCUGCUUCCGGUACGGGCGGGCUGGAGUAUGGCAGGGGAGACUGGAAUUCCUGGUGUAGCGGUGGAAUGCGCAGAUAUCAGGAGGAACACCGGUGGCGAAGGCGGGUCUCUGGCGAUUACUGACGCUGAGGAGCGAAAGCGUGGGGAGCGAACAGG
rnacentral:rRNA from 1 species